AGGGUUCGAGUUCUGGCGUCAGGAUGAACGCUAGCUGCAGGCUUAACACAUGCAAGUCGAGGGGUAGCAGGAUCUAGCAAUAGAUCGCUGACGACCGGCGCACGGGUGAGUAACACGUAUCCAACCUUCCGUUUACUCGGGGAUAGCCUUUCGAAAGAAAGAUUAAUACCCGAUAGUAUGUUUCUUCCGCAUGGGAGAACCAUUAAAGUUUUUCGGUAAUCGAUGGGGAUGCGUUCCAUUAGGCAGUUGGUGAGGUAACGGCUCACCAAACCUUCGAUGGAUAGGGGUUCUGAGAGGAAGGUCCCCCACAUUGGAACUGAGACACGGUCCAAACUCCUACGGGAGGCAGCAGUGAGGAAUAUUGGUCAAUGGACGAGAGUCUGAACCAGCCAAGUAGCGUGAAAAGGAUGACUGCCCUAUGGGUUGUAAACUUCUUUUAUAUGGGAAUAAAGGAGCCUACGUGUAGGUUUUUGUAUGUACCAUACGAAUAAGGAUCGGCUAACUCCGUGCCAGCAGCUGC
rnacentral:rRNA from 1 species